rnacentral:rRNA from 1 species
UUUUUGGAGAGUUUGAUCCUGGCUCAGGACGAACGCUGGCGGCGUGCUUAACACAUGCAAGUCGA